GCAGAAGUAGCAGCAUGCCCAGAGCUCACCGGGGGAGAAGACUUCCCAGCCCUGCACCCGCAGGUCAGGGCAGGCUGCCCUGGUCCUGGGUGGAAGGAGAUGCCUGAAGACCCCCAGGAAUGCUACGGAGGGGCUGAAGGCCUCUGAGGGUCUGAUGCAGAGGAGAACGGGACACAGCAGGGGACACUGACCUCUGUAUGCUUGUGCCAUGGUACCAAGAUGAACUAUUCCUGCUGAAGUUACAGUUAAAGAGGAAACAAAAGGAACACAAGGCCACUGCCGAAUUUAUCAGGAAGAGCUGUAUAAAGAUCAGAGUUUGUUAGCUUGUCGUCUUUGGCCUGACCCAAAUGAUGUGGCAGGUCUUUCCCAACCUACAUGGCACUAUGGUUCUAUGUUUCUA